CUUUGGGUGUGACUGCGUACCUUUUGUAUAAUGGGUCAGCGACUUAUAUUCUGUAGCAAGGUUAACCGAAUAGGGGAGCCGGAGGGAAACCGAGUCUUAACCGGGCGUUAAGUUGCAGGGUAUAGACCCGAAACCCGGUGAUCUAGCCAUGGGCAGGUUGAAGGUUGGGUAACACUAACUGGAGGACCGAACCGACUAAUGUUGAAAAAUUAGCGGAUGACCUGUGGCUGGGGGUGAAAGGCCAAUCAAACCGGGAGAUAGCUGGUUCUCCCCGAAAGCUAUUUAGGUAGCGCCUCGUGAAUUCAUCUCCGGGGGUAGAGCACUGUUUCGGCUAGGGGGCCAUCCCGGCUUACCAACCCGAUGCAAACUGCGAAUACCGGAGAAUGUUAUCACGGGAGACACACGGCGGGUGCUAACGUCCGUCGUGAAGAGGGAAACAACCCAGACCGCCAGCUAAGGUCCCAAAGUCAUGGUUAAGUGGGAAACGAUGUGGGAAGGCCCAGACAGCCAGGAUGUUGGCUUAGAAGCAGCCAUCAUUUAAAGAAAGCGUAAUAGCUCACUGGUCGAGUCGGCCUGCGCGGAAGAUGUAACGGGGCUAAACCAUGCACCGAAGCUGCGGCAGCGACACUGUGUGUUGUU
rnacentral:rRNA from 1 species